UACGGAGGAUGCAAGCGUUAUCCGGAUUCAUUGGGUUUAAAGGGUGCGUAGGCGGGCUAUUAAGUCAGUGGUGAAAUCCUGCAGCUUAACUGCAGAACUGCCGUUGAUACUGAUAGUCUUGAGUUUGGUUAAGGUAGGCGGAAUGUGUAAUGUAGCGGUGAAAUGCUUAGAUAUUACACAGAACACCAAUUGCGUAGGCAGCUUACUGAGCCGACACUGACGCUGAGGCACGAAAGCGUGGGGAGCAAACGGGAUUA
rnacentral:rRNA from 1 species